UAGCAGCUGGAAGAAUUAAACUGCAGGUGAAGGCAGCUUGCAACUUGGGAGGAUUCUUUUUCAAGGACCAAGAGUUCUGGACAAUGUCCACACG
rnacentral:lncRNA from 1 species